rnacentral:rRNA from 1 species
AUUGAACGCUGGCGGCAUGCCUUACACAUGCAAGUCGAACGGCAGCGCGGACUUCGGUCUGGCGGCGAGUGGCGAACGGGUGAGUAAUACAUCGGAACGUACCCUGUUGUGGGGGAUAACUAGUCGAAAGAUUAGCUAAUACCGCAUACGACCUGAGGGUGAAAGUGGGGGACCGCAAGGCCUCACGCAGCAGGAGCGGCCGAUGUCUGAUUAGCUAGUUGGUGGGGUAAAGGCCCACCAAGGCGACGAUCAGUAGCUGGUCUGAGAGGACGAUCAGCAACACUGGGACUGAGACACGGCCCAGACUCCUACGGGGGGCAGCAGUGGGGAAUUUUGGACAAUGGGGGCAACCCUGAUCCAGCAAUGCCGCGUGUGUGAAGAAGGCCUUCGGGUUGUAAAGCACUUUUGUCCGGAAAGAAAUCGCGCUGGUUAAUACCUGGCGUGGAUGACGGUACCGGAAGAAUAAGCACCGGCUAACUACGUGCCAGCCGCCGCCGUAA